rnacentral:rRNA from 1 species
AGGGUUUGAUUAUGGCUCAGGAUGAACGCUAGCGGCAGGCCUAAUACAUGCAAGUCGAACGAGAUUUAUGACUUCGGUUAUAAUGACAGUGGCGCACGGGGGCGUAACGCGUAUAAUCUACCCUUUACUGGGGGAUAGCCCGGAGAAAUCCGGAUUAAUACCCCAUAGUAUCACAGAUUGGCAUCAUGAAGUGAUUAAAGAUUUAUUGGUAAAGGAUGGGCAUGCGUGACAUUAGCUAGUUGGUGAGGUAACGGCUCACCAAGGCCACGAUGUCUAGGGGUUCUGAGAGGAUGAUCCCCCACACUGGUACUGAGAUACGGACCAGACUCCUACGGGAGGCAGCAGUAGGGAAUAUUGGUCAAUGGACGAGAGUCUGAACCAGCUAUGCCGCGUGCAGGAAGACGGCCUUCUGGGUUGUAAACUGCUUUUAUACGGGAAGAAAAAAGCCUUGCGAGGCAAAUUGACGGUACCAUACGAAUAAGCACCGGCUAACUCCGUGCCAGCAGCCGCGGUAAUACGGAGGGUGCAAGCGUUGUCCGGAUUUAUUGGGUUUAAAGGGUGUGUAGGCGGAUUUUUAAGUCAGUGGUGUAAUCUCUCGGCUCGACCGAGAAACUGCCAUUGAUACUGGAAGUCUUGCGUUUAGAUGAAGUAGGCGGACUAUGUCAUGUAGCGGUGAAAUGCAUAGAUAUUACAUAGAACACCGAUAGCGAAGGCAGCUUACUAAUCUAUAACUGACGCUGAUGCACGAAAGCGUGGGUAGCGAACAGGAUUAGAUACCCUGGUAUUCCACGCCGUAAACGAUGUUCACUCGUUGUUGGCAAUACACCGUCAGCGACUAAGCGAAAGUGAUAAGGGAACCACCUGGGGAGUACGAUCGCAAGGUUGAAACUCACAGGAAUUGACGGGGGCCCGCACAAGCGGAGGAGCAUGUGGUUUAAUUCAAUGAUACGCGAGGAACCUUAACUGGGGGGCUUAAAUGUAGAUUGACAGUCAAAGAGAUUUGAUUUUCUUCGGACAAUUUACAAGGUGCUGCAUGGUUGUCGUCAGCUCGUGCCGUGAGGUGUCGGGUUAAGUCCCAUAACGAGCGCAACCCCUACCGUUAGUUGCCAUCAGGUCAAGCUGGGGACUCUAGCGGAACUGCCUGCGCAAGCAGAGAGGAAGGUGGGGAUGACGUCAAAUCAGCACGGCCCUUAUGUCCAGGGCUACACACGUGCUACAAUGGUCGGUACAGAGGGCAGCUACCUAGCAAUAGGAUGCAAAUCUCGAAAGCCGAUCUCAGUUCGGAUCGGAGUCUGCAACUCGACUCCGUGAAGUUGGAUUCGCUAGUAAUCGGAUAUCAGCAAUGAUCCGGUGAAUACGUUCCCGGGCCUUGUACACACCGCCCGUCAAGCCAUGGAAGCCGGGAGUACCUGAAGUUCGUGACCGUAAGGAGCGACCUAGGGUAAAACUGGUAACUGGGGCUAAGUCGUAACAAGGUAGCC